UACGUAGGUCCCGAGCGUUGUCCGGAUUUAUUGGGGCGUAAAAGCGAGCGCAGGCGGUUAGAUAAGUCUGAAGUUAAAAGGCUGUGGCUUAACCAUAGUACGCUUUGGAAACUGUUUAACUUGAGUGCAAGAGGGGAGAGUGGAAUUCCAUGUGUAGCGGUGAAAUGCGUAGAUAUAUGGAGGAACACCGGUGGCGAAAAGCGGCUCUCUGGCUUGUAACUGACGCUGAGGCUCGAAAAGCGUGGGGGAGCAAAACAGGAUUAGAUACGCGUAGUCC
rnacentral:rRNA from 1 species